GUGCUCACUUUGGCAGCACAUAUACUAAAAUUGGAACAAUACAGAGAAGAUUAGCUUGGCCCCUGCGCAAGGAUGACACGCAAAUUCGUGAAGCGUUCCAUAAAAAA
ensembl:snRNA U6 U6 spliceosomal RNA